AGGCCUGUAGCUUAAUCGGUAAAGCUCGCUUUCCGUCUCCACGAAGGUUACUAUGCAGGUUCAAAUCCUGUCGGGUCUA